rnacentral:rRNA from 1 species
AGAGUUUGAUCAUGGCUCAGAACGAACGCUGGCGGCACGUUUUAAGCAUGCAAGUCGAACGGCAGUGGGGGCUUGCUCCCAUGAGAGUGGCGAACGGGUGAGUAACACGUAGGUGAUCUGCCUUGAGGAUGGGGAUAGCCUGUGGAAACACAGGGUAAUACCGAAUGAGCUGACGGGGCUUUGGCCAAGUUAGUAAAGGUGCUACGGCACCGCCUUGAGAGGAGCCUGCGGCUGAUUAGCUAGUUGGUGGGGUAAAGGCCUACCAAGGCGACGAUCAGUAGCCGGCCUGAGAGGGUGUACGGCCACACUGGAACUGAGACACGGUCCAGACUCCUACGGGAGGCAGCAGCUAAGAAUCUUCCGCAAUGGGCGAAAGCCUGACGGAGCGAUGCCGCGUGAUCGAUGAAGGUCGAGAGAUUGUAAAGAUCUUUUACAGCUGAGGAAUAAGUGUGGGAGGGAAUGCCCGCAUGAUGACGUUAAGCUGUGAAUAAGCCCCGGCUAAUUACGUGCCAGCAGCCGCGGUAACACGUAAGGGGCGAGCGUUGUUCGGAAUUAUUGGGCGUAAAGGGCACGCAGGCGGUUAUACAAGUCCGAUGUUAAAGACCUGGGCUUAACUCAGGGAAUGCGUUGGAAACUGUAUGACUAGAAUCUUGGAGGGGGAGUCGGAAUUCCUAGUGUAGGGGUGAAAUCUGUUGAUAUUAGGAAGAACACCGGUGGCGAAGGCGGACUCCUGGCCGAAGAUUGACGCUGAGGUGCGAAAGCAUAGGGAGCAAACAGGAUUAGAUACCCCAGUAGUCC